UUUCUCUCUCUUGCCUGGUGCCGUGUCAGGUAUGCCUUUCACUUUCUGCUGUGAUUGUGAGGCCUUCCCAGCCAUAUGGAGCUGUGAGUCCCUUAACCAUCUUAUUCUUUAUAAAUUACCCAGUCUCAGGUACGGCUUUAUCAGCAGCAUGAAAACAGACUAAUACAGUUACUAGUGCUGCUUACAAAUUAAUACAAAACUUGGAAGCUUAAAACAACCAUUUUAUUAUGCCAAUACAUUCUAUGGGUGAGGAAUUCCAGACCAGGCACAGUGGGAGGGGCUUGUCUUGCCUCCUAAUGGAUGGGGUGCCUUUAUGGCUGGAGCCGGACUCAUAGGAAGGCACCUUCACUUACAUGUGAGGCAGUUGAUACCGACCAUCAGUUUGGACCUUAGCUGGUGCUUCUCCCAGAAUACCUACACACGGCCUCUCCAUGUGACCUGGACUUUUAGCAGCAUGGCAGCCUCAAGGAAGUUGGACUUUUUCAUGGUGUCUCAACGUUCUAAAUAAUUUUUGCAUCUAUAUUUACGAAGGACACUGGUCUGCCUCUGGUUGUCAAACAGGGACAUCCAUACCAGUGAUGAACAUCAAUGUGAAAGAAGUCAUCAGUCUUAACUGGUUGGAAUCUUUUGUUAAAGAUGGAGGCAACAAAAGAUGGAAAGAUUCUGAGUCUCUGAGUAACCAUGUGGAGCACAAUCCCAGCUAACUCACAUUGGAUAGAAAAAGGACAAGCUGUGAAACGCCUAGAUUCCAGAGCAACAGACUGUGAUCCAUUCCCAACAACCCCUCCCUACCGUCUGCCACCAGUUCCCAUAAAGCAGGAAUCAGAGCUAGGCUGGCUCAACUAAGGUGAACAUGGAGGAAAGACAUUCCAGCAGGAGGAAAUGAUACGAGCAAAGACACAGAGGCAAGAAGCUUGACAUAGCAUCGAUGAGCCCAAGUCAACUAUAUGAACAAAACCAUGUCUCAGGAGGGGCAGAGCACCAAGUCAGAAGAAUCCUGAGUCCUUAGAUGACCUUGUAGAAAAGAGCCACAAACUUACUCUGGGCUACCUUCAUACCUCUGAACUAUUAUGCAGAGAGAAAUAAAUGUAUUCAAAUC